CCUACGGGUGGCAGCAGUAGGGAAUAUUGCUCAAUGGGGGAAACCCUGAAGCAGCAACGCCGCGUGGUGGAUGAAGGUUUUAGGGUUGUAAACUCCUUUUGUUAGAGAGGAUUAUGACGGUAUCUAACGAAUAAGCACCGGCUAACUCCGUGCCAGCAGCCGCGGUAAUACGGAGGGUGCAAGCGUUACUCGGAAUCACUGGGCGUAAAGAGUGCGUAGGCGGGGUGAUAAGUCAGAUGUGAAAUCCGGUGGCUUAACUACAGAACUGCAUUUGAAAUUGGUACGCUGGAGUGCGGGAGAGGUAAGUGGAAUUCGUGGUGUAGGGGUAAAAUCCGUAGAGAUCAAGAGGAAUA
rnacentral:rRNA from 1 species